UCCGAGUUGACCCCGGCAGUCUCACAUGAGUUCCCACCAUAACGUGCUGGCAACAUGCGACGAGGGUUGCGCUCGUUGCGGGACUUAACCCAACAUCUCACGACACGAGCUGACGACAACCAUGCACCACCUGUACACCAGUGUCCAAAGAGUUCCGCAUCUCUGCGGCGUUCUGGUGUAUGUCAAGCCUUGGUAAGGUUCUUCGCGUUGCAUCGAAUUAAUCCGCAUGCUCCGCCGCUUGUGCGGGCCCCCGUCAAUUCCUUUGAGUUUUAGCCUUGCGGCCGUACUCCCCAGGCGGGGCGCUUAAUGCGUUAGCUGCGGCACAGAGAACCGGAGAGGCCCCCCACACCUAGCGCCCAACGUUUACAGCGUGGACUAC
rnacentral:misc_RNA from 1 species